rnacentral:rRNA from 1 species
CGGUCUUGCUGUCACUUAUAGAUGGAUCCGCGCUGCAUUAGCUAGUUGGUAAGGUAACGGCUUACCAAGGCAACGAUGCAUAGCCGACCUGAGAGGGUGAUCGGCCACACUGGAACUGAGACACGGUCCAGACUCCUACGGGAGGCAGCAGUAGGGAAUCUUCCGCAAUGGGCGAAAGCCUGACGGAGCAACGCCGCGUGAGUGAUGAAGGUCUUCGGAUCGUAAAACUCUGUUAUUAGGGAAGAACAUAUGUGUAAGUAACUGUGCACAUCUUGA